UACGUAGGGCGCAAGCGUUAUCCGGAAUUAUUGGGCGUAAAGAGCUCGUAGGCGGUUUGUCGCGUCUGCCGUGAAAGCCCGGGGCUCAACCCCGGAAGUGCACUCGAAACUGCAAGGCUUGAGUACGGAAGAGGGUCUCGGAAUUCCCGGUGUAGAGGUGAAAUUCGUAGAUAUCGGGAGGAACACCAGUGGCGAAGGCGGAGACCUGGGCCGAUACUGACGCUGAGGUGCGAAAGCGUGGGGAGCAAACAGG
rnacentral:rRNA from 1 species